AGGAGUAUGGGAGGGCCUCGAGUUAUCUUGAGAGCUAGUCAUAUUCUCCUUGAGGGAGAUUUAUCUAUGAAGAUUGGUUGGAUUUUGAGGUGAACUCUUUGGAUAGACAAUCACCAUUUAUUGAUCAAUAUACGGAUAUUGGCCGAUCAGUGUGUCUCCUUCAGUGCUAAGCAUAUGUAUUGUGAAGCAAAUAUCUCUAUGGACUGGAUAGCCUUCUUUGUUAUGGAUCACUCUAGUGGUA
rnacentral:lncRNA from 1 species